GUCGAAUCCGCGGAUUUCAAAUUCAACUACGCAAGGCAAGCAACAAUAUUGACAUACAUGAUUUUAAUGAACAAACUCGUUACAGUAUUAUAAAUCAAAUAACAAAAAAAGACAUAAUUGAUAACAACACGAAAUCAACGGGUGCACGUAGCAAUGGACUUAGAGUCCAAUCUACAAUUCCAGAUAGAACUAACAAUAGACAAUACAAUAGUAUCAUAUAGUAAAUAAGUAGACCAAAAAAUAAAUGAAUGAUGUAGAAAUAGGUCAAAUGGCCUUUUCCCAACAACAACAAAAUCCAGCGUAAACAACCUCAUCAUUAGUCAGCAAAUUUCACAUAAUGGUAAAAAAAGAUAAAUAGAUAACAAUUUGGAAUUUGACUUUCAACUUUUAUGAAGAUUAAAAAAAAUGAUUUGCAGGAAACUCAUUAAAGAACAACAAACUUAAGCUUCCUCUCUAUAUGCAUGAAACUAACACAAACCAACAUGCAUAAAUGAAACGAGCUUCAAUCGUUAAAAAUAAAACAUUACAAUAAUAAAAUUCACACUGUAGAUCUAGAUUCAAAUGUGAGCAUAUGUUUAGAUAAAAAAAAAGAACCUACUGCAAUGAAUUCGACUCUUUACGGUUUCCACGAACUUGCUGUUGAAGAGCAAGGCACGAUGAUGAUAAUAAGUUGUGAGUUGAAGAUGAGGAGCUGUAAGUGUUGAACAACGAUGCGGUUUUGGGUGAGGAAGAUGUGUCGACGUGGUGGGUGUUUCACGGUGGGGGUGAAUUGCGACGGAGGGUGUUCCUCGGAGGGAUGGUUGUGCACACGACGGAGGAUGAUGUUGAGGCGGAGAAGAUUAUGGAUGAAGGAAGAGUGAGGUACAACAAGGUGAGUGAAGGUCUCGCGGCGGUGUCGAUGGAAGGUCUCGCGGCGGUGUCGAUGGAAGGUUGUCGCCGGUGGUGACUUUCGCAGAUGGAGAAGAAGAAGCGGUCAAUGAUGAUGUGUUGUGACAGUAGUGACAUAGUUGACGUUGAGAGAAUUCCACCGGUGGGGACGGUUGUGGAAGAAGGUUUGUAUGGUCACGGAGAAGAGGAUCUCCGUUUGAGUUUUAUUCUCCUCUUUUUUUUCUGCGUCUUUUUUUUAUAUUCUCCUUUUUCUUUUUGAACCUCGAGAGAGAGAGAGAGAGAGAGAGAGAGAGAGAGACGUUGGAGAGGUUUUGGAAAAAAAUGUUUGUUCAGUCGAUUUGUUUUUGAGAAACCAAGAAGGAGAGAGUGAUUCCUCUAUUUCCCGCCAGCGAGAGCCCCAUGUGAGCGUGUUCUGCCCCCUUUUUGAAGAAGAGCAUUAUUUUUUGUUUUUUCUCUUUCUCUGUCCACGCGUUCCC
rnacentral:lncRNA from 1 species